rnacentral:rRNA from 1 species
GAUGAACGCUGGCGGCGUGCCUAAUACAUGCAAGUCGAGCGAACAGACGAGGAGCUUGCUCCUCUGACGUUAGCGGCGGACGGGUGAGUAACACGUGGAUAACCUACCUAUAAGACUGGGAUAACUUCGGGAAACCGGAGCUAAUACCGGAUAAUAUAUUGAACCGCAUGGUUCAAUAGUGAAAGACGGUUUUGCUGUCACUUAUAGAUGGAUCCGCGCUGCAUUAGCUAGUUGGUAAGGUAACGGCUUACCAAGGCAACGAUGCGUAGCCGACCUGAGAGGGUGAACAGCCACACUGGAACUGAGACACGGUCCAGGCUCCUACGGGAGGCAGCAGUAGGGAAUCUUCCGCAAUGGGGGAAAGCCUGACGGAGCAACGCCGCGUGAGUGAUGAAGGUCUUCGGAUCGUAAAACUCUGUUAUUAGGGAAGAACAAAUGUGUAAGUAACUAUGCACGUCUUGACGGUACCUAAUCAGAAAGCCACGGCUAACUACGUG